UGGGAUGUCAGGAACUUUGCGUUGAAGUA
rnacentral:piRNA from 1 species